AUCUUUACACGUGACAACCAUCUUCUGAAUAAUUUUCUUGAUAUUCUUAUUAGCGGCUUCAAUAGCCCCAUUCAUCUUGGGUCUGUAAGGAGAAGAAUUAUGAUCUGCGAUCUUGAACUCGCUACACAGCUCUUUCAUCAUCUUGUUGUUCAAGUUAGAUCCAUUAUCAGUAAUGAUCUUAUCUGGCACACCAUAUCGGCAUAUGAGUGAUUCUUGAUAAACUUCAUCACUACCUGCCUGGUCACGUUUGCAUAUGACGCUGCUUCAACCCAUUUGGUGAAGUAAUCAAUUGCUACGAGAAUGAAUCUGUGACCAUUAGACGCUUUUGGCUCUAUCAUGCCAAUCAUGUCGAUUCCCCACAUGGAGAAGGGCCAUGGUGAUGAAAUCACAUUCAGAAGUGUCGGGGGGGAAUAUGAAUCUUAAUCGCGAAUCUUGACACUUAUGGCAUUUCUUCACAUAUUUGCAACAGUCAGACUCCAUUGUCAGCCAAUAGUAGCCUGCUCUCAACAUCUUUCUAGCCAUGGCAUGUCCAUUGGAAUGUGUACCAAAUAAACCCUCAUGAACCUCAGUCAUUAACAGGUCUGCUUCGUGUCUAUCCACGCAUCUGAGCAGCACCAUGUCAAAAUUUCUCUUAUAAAGCACAUCACCAUUGAGGUAGAAACUGCCUGAUAAUCUCCUCAGAGUCUUCCUAUCUUUCACAGAUGCCCCAGGCGGGUAAAUUUGGUUAUGAAGGAAACACUUGAUGUCAUAAUACCAUGGCUUAUCAUCUUGUACCUCCUCUACUACAAAUACAUGAGCUGGUCUGUCCAAGCGCAUCACAGUGAUAUUGGGAACUUUAUUCCAAAGUCUUACCACAAUCAUCGAAGCAAGUGUAGCAAGAGCACCUGCCAUCUGAUUCUCAUCUCGAGGAAUAUGAUAGAAGUCAACCUCAGUAAAGAACGUUGAAAUCCUCCUCGCAUAAUCCCUAUAUGGAAUGAGGCCAGGCUGAUUCGUUUUCUAUUCACCCUUAAUCUGAUUAACAACGAGGGCCGAAUCACCAUAAACAACAAGAUGCUUGAUCCUAAGAUCAAUGCACUCCUCCAAUCCCAUAAUACAGGCUUCAUACUCAGCCAUAUUAUUCGUGCAUUUGAAAGUUAGCCUUGCUGUAAAAGGAAAAUGUGUGCCCUGAGGAGUAAUAAUCACUGCCCCAAUACCAUUUCCGUAUUGAUUUACAACACCAUCAAAUACCAUACUCCAUCUGGAACCAGGCUCUGGUCCUUUAUCAAGCGUAGGUUCAUCACAAUAUUUCAUUUUCAAAUACAGAAUCUCCUCAUCCGGGAAGUCAUACUGAACUGAUUGAUGGUCCAUAAUUGGCUGAUGUGCUAAGUGGUCAGCCAAAAUACUACCCUUAAUAGCCUUCUGAGCACGAUACUCAAUAUCAUACUCAGAUAACAACAUCUGCCAACGGGCAAUUCUCCCAGUUAGAGCAGGCUUCUCGAAGAUAUACUUGAUUGGAUCCAUUUUGGAUAUCAACCAAGUCGUAUGAUUCAACAUAUACUGGCGUAAGCGCUUAGCAGCCCAAGCCAAAGCACAACAUGUUUUCUCAAACUUGAUUGGAUCCAUUUUGGAUAUCAACCAAGUCGUAUGAUUCAACAUAUACUGGCGUAAGCGCUUAGCAGCCCAAGCCAAAGCACAACAUGUUUUCUCAAGCAUUGAGUAUCGAGACUCACAAUCCGUAAACUUCUUACUCAAAUAGUAGAUGGCAUACUCUUUCUUUCUUGAUUCGUCCUGCUGACCAAGGACAGAACCCAUUGAGUCUUCAAGAACAGUCAGAUACAUAAUAAAUGGUCUUCCUUCCUUAGGCGGAGACAGGAUCGGAGGCUCAGACAAAUACUCUUUAAUACUAUCAAAAGCUUUCUGGCAAUCCUCAGUCCAAUCAUGGGACUGAUCUUUCCGGAGGAGCUUGAAUAUCGGCACACAUGUGGCAGUCAUGUGGGAUAUGAAUCUGGAAAUGUAAUUCAAGCGGUCAAGAAAACCUCGGACUUGCUUCUCAGUUUUGGGCGUAGGCAUCUCUUGUAUCGCUUUGACCUUUGCAGGAUCAACCUUAAUACCUCUUUCACUAACGAUAAAGCCCAAUAGCUUGCCAGAACGGACUCCAAAUGUACACUUGUUGGGAUUCAGACGAAGCAUGUACUUCCGCAAACGCCGAAACAGCUUCAACAAGUGCUCUACAUGUUCAACUUCCGUUCUUGACUUCGCAAUCAUAUCAUCAACAUACACCUCGAUCUCCUUAUGCAUCAUAUCAUGAAAUAAGGUAGUCAUAGCUCGUUGAUACGUGGCUCCAGCGUUCUUCAAACCGAAGGGCAUCACUCGAUAACAGAAUGUUCCCCAAGGUGUGAUGAAUGUUGUCUUCUCCAUAUCCUCGGGUGCCAUUUACCAGCGUUCUUCAAACCGAAGGGCAUCACUCGAUAACAGAAUGUUCCCCAAGGUGUGAUGAAUGUUGUCUUCUCCAUAUCCUCGGGUGCCAUUUUAAUCUGAUUAUAUCCGGAAAAUCCAUCCAUAAGUGAGAAGACCUUGAAUUUAGCUAUAUUAUCUACCAACAUAUCAAUAUGUGGUAGAGGGAAAUCAUCUUUCGGACUAGCUUUAUUCAAGUCUCUAUAGUCCACACACAUCCAGACUUUUCCAUCUUUCUUAGGUACGAGCACAAUAUUGGCCACCCAUUGAGGAUAUGUAGAAGUCACCAGAAACCCCGCGUCAAUUUGCUUCUGAACUUCCUCCUUGAUUUUUACUGCCAUAUCGGGAUGUGUUCUUCUGAGCUUUUGCUUCACAGGCACACACUCAGGCUUCAAAGGCAGGAAAUGUUGCACGAUAUCUGUAUCCAGACCAGGCAUGUCUUCAUAUGACCAGGCAAAGACGUCAACAUAUUCUCGUAGCAAUUCAAUCAACCCCUUCUUAACAGACUCUUCCAGGAGUGCCCCAAUCUUUACUUCUCGCGCACAAUCUUCAGACCCCAAGUUGACUGUUUCCAGAUUCUCAAGAUGCGGCUGAAUGAUCUUCUCUUCAUGCUCAAGUAGACGGGUAAUCUCGUCAGGAAUCUCUUCAACAUCAUCUUAUGCGUAUCGUACUUUUACCUUAAUCUUCUUUACGUUUCAAUACUGUUUUGCAAAUUCUGUUAGUGUGUGGUGAUUGAUUAUAUUUCUGGACAGCAGUGAUAACAAAACCUUGAGUCAUACACCAUUGCUGUUUAUCAUCAAACACUCACACACCAACUGUUUGACAAAACGGUUAACUUGAUUGUGUUCAUUGGAAAUAGUAUUUGAGGAUAAGCGCAUUCAAUCUGUUAAAGUUCUGUGUGUAUUAUUUUUGUCAUUCUCACUAAAAUCCAGCAACUGCACUUGCGUGUCCGGCUUUCUAGUAGUAGUUCAGAAUAGACAGAAGUCGAUUCGGGACUGCUUUUUCCGCUGUUUUUGAAAACUCUGAUUAAACGUUAAAUCCGUUAUUUUUUUAAGAGGUGAUCUAUUCACCCCCCCUCUCGAUCACUAGCCACACCGUCUAACAGAAAUCCUCCUCGCAUAAUCCCUAUAUGGAAUGAGGCCUGGCUGAUUCGUUUCCCAUUCACCCUUAAUCUGAUUAACAACGAGGGCCGAAUCACCAUAAACAUCAAGAUGCUUGAUCCUAAGAUCAAUGCAUUCCUCCAAUCCCAUAAUACAAGCUUCAUACUCAACCAUAUUAUUUGUGCAUUUGAAAGUUAGCCUUGCUGUAAAAGGAAAAUGUGUGCCCUGAGGAGUAAUAAUCACUGCCCCAAUACCAUUUCCAUAUUGAUUUACAGCGCCGUCAAAUACCAUGCUCCAUCUGGAACCAGGCUCUGGCCCUUCAUCGAGCGUAGGCUCAUCACGAUCUUUCAUUUUCAAAUACAGAAUCUCUUCAUCUGGGAAAUCAUACUGAACUGACUGAUAAUCCUCAAUCGGCUGAUGUGCCAAGUGGUCAGCCAAGAUACUACCUUUAAUAGCCUUCUAAGCUUGAUACUCAAUAUCAUACUCAGAUAACAACAUCUGUCAACGGGCAAUUCUCCCUGUUAAAGCAGGCUUCUCGAAGAUAUACUUGAUUGGAUCCAUUCUGGAUAUCAACCAAGUCGUAUGAUUCAACAUAUACUAGCGUAAGCGCUUAGCAGCCCAAGCCAAAGCACAUCAUGUUUUCUCAAGCAUUGAGUAUCGAGACUCACAAUCAGUAAACUUCUUACUCAAAUAGUAAAUGGCAUACUCUUUCUUCCCUGAUUCAUCUUGCUGACCAAGGACACAACCCAUGGAAUCAUCAAGCACCGUCAGAUACAUAAUCAAUGGUCUUCCUUCUACAGGCGGAGACAGGAGUGGAGGCUCAGACAAAUACUCUUUAAUUCUGUCAAAAGCUUUCUGGCAAUCCUCGGUCCAAUCAUGGGACUGAUCUUUCCGGAGGAGCUUGAAUAUCGGCGCACAUGUGGCAGUCAUGUGGGAUAUGAAUCUGGAAAUGUAAUUCAAGCGGCCAAGAAAACCUCGGACUUGCUUCUCAGUUUUGGGCGCAAGCAUCUCUUGUAUUGCUUUGACCUUUGCAGGAUCAACCUCAAUACCUCUUUCACUAACGAUAAAGCCCAAUAGCUUGCCGGAACGGACUCCAAAUGUACACUUGUUGGGAUUCAGACGAAGCUUGUACUUCCUCAAACGCUGAAAAAGUUUCAACAGGUGUUCUACAUGUUCAACUUCCGUUCUUGACUUAGCAAUCAUAUCAUCAACAUAUACCUCGAUCUCCUUAUGCAUCAUAUCAUGAAACAAAGUAGUCAUAGCUCGUUGAUACGUGGCGCCGGCGUUCUUCAAACCGAAAGGCAUCACUCGAUAACAGAAUGUUCCCCAAGGUGUGAUGAAUGUUGUCUUCUCCAUAUCCUCGGGUGCCAUUUUAAUCUGAUUAUAUCCGGAAAAUCCAUCCAUAAAUGAGAAGAUCUUGAAUUUAGUUGUAUUAUCUACCAACAUAUCAAUAUGUGGUAGAGGAAAAUCAUCUUUCGGACUAGCUUUAUUCAAGUCUCUAUAGUCCACACACAUCCGGACUUUUCCAUCUUUCUUAGGCACGGGCACAAUAUUGGCCACCCAUUGAGGAUAUGUAGAAGUCACCAGAAACCCCACAUCAAUUUGCUUCUGAACUUCCUCUUUGAUCUUCACUGUCAUAUCAGGAUGAGUUCUUCUGAGCUUCUGCUUCACAGGCACGCACUCAGGUUUCAAAGGUAGGAAAUGUUGCACAAUAUCAGUAUCUAGACCAGGCAUGUCUUCAUAUGACCAAGCGAAGAUGUCAAUAUAUUCUCGUAGCAACUCAAUCAACCCCUUCUUAACAGACUCUUCCAGGAGUGCCCCAAUCUUUACUUCUCGUACACAAUCUUCAGACCCCAAAUUGACUGUUUCUAGAUUCUCAAGAUGCGGCUGAAUGAUCUUCUCUUCAUGCUCAAGUAGACGGGUAAUCUCGUCAGGAACAUCUUCAACAUCAUCUUCUUCCGCCUCAAAUACAGGGAAUUCAAAGUUGGGAGAUGGUGUUGGAUCAUUAUGUUCAAUGGGUUUGAUCAACCUGUAUAAUGAUUUUGGAUAUAAAGAGCUUUUAGAAUUCAAGCAAGGCAAAUCAUUAUGCAGAUGAAAAGAUUGAUUUUAUUUUAUCUUUAAAGGGUUUUAUGUGAUCACCAAUUUCAUGCAAAAAGCGAAAAGGGAAAAUGAUUGGAAAAACAAACAUUUAACAUGAAUUUAUUGAAUGAAAGUAUCAUUGUAUUUAUGCGCCAACAAUGUCAUCACUUCUCCUUUUGGCAUGGGAGAAGGGUUUUCAAACACAAUGAACAUUACUUUGACUUAUGGAUAAUUGUUGGAAUAUCCACAGCGACCCAAUUAUUGCAGAUCCCUCCAGGGAUAAUGAAAUUGCCAGAAUCCUCUUCAUCUUCUUCCAAAAUGGCAGCAUCCUCUUCAUCUUGACCAGUGUGGAUGAAACCCCCACUCUUGAACAAACCUUGUUUUUUGAAGACCCCAUAAGAAUAGCCUAUGCCAGCCCGGGACUUGUUGUCUUCUAACUCAAUCAUUUGUCCUAAAUCGGCAGUUGCACCAUGCUCAAUGGCCAACUUUGCAUCUUUGUAGGAAGCAAAUGAAGAAGUUCUCUUCUCAACAGGUUCAGCAAUAGAUAAAGCUUGGAACGGAGUUCCAACUUCAUCCUCAGCAUCUAUAUAUGAUAAGGAAGACAAAUGGCUAACCAGGAGAGCCUUUUCUCCCCCUACCACCACCAGCUUCUUAUUCUUUACAAAUUUCAGUUUCUGGUGUAGGAUGGAUGUCACGGCGCCUGCCUCGUGAAUCCAUGGUCUGCCUAAGAGACAACUAUACGAUGGGUGAAUGUCCAUAACCUGGAAGGUAAUUUGGAAAUCACUUGGUCUGAUUUUGACUGGGAGAUCAACCUCACCAAUCACAGUUUUGCGAGACCCAUCGAAAGCCUUCACAACUACCCCACUCUACCUCAUGGGAGGCCCUUGAUAUGACAACUUCGCGAGAGUGGUCUUCGGUAAUACAUUCAACGAUGACCCAGUGUCUACCAACACAUUGGACAUGGCGUCAUCUUUGCAGCUCAUAGAUAUAUGUAAUGCCAAGUUAUGGUCUCUUCCCUCCUCGGGGAGAUCAGCGUCACAAAAACUCAGGUUGUUACAUUUGCAGCUCAUAGAUAUAUGUAAUGCCAAGUUAUGGUCUCUUCCCUCCUCGGGGAGAUCAGCGUCACAAAAACUCAGGUUGUUACAAGCGGUGAUGUUUGCAACAAUGCUAUCAAAUUGUUCUAGCAUGACAUUGUGAUCUACGUACGCCACAUCCAACACCUUUUGCAGAGCUUCUCGGUGUGGUUCUGAAUUCAAUAGUAGUGAUAACACAGAUAUUUUGGAUGGCGUUUGUAGAAGCUGGUCUACAACAUUGUACUCGCUUCUCUUGAUGAGCCUCAGCAUCUGAUCACAAUCUUCUUACGUAUUUCCACUCGGGCCAGCAGAAGCAGGAGUUUUCAAUAUGGAGGAGGGCUUAGCAACAAGUUCCGGAUUUGGAGUGCUCACAGCAUUCCCAAUCGGGCGUUCGACAAAAUCAGCAUCAACACUUCCUCGAGCAUAAACUUGAGGCUUUAACGGAGCUGAAAAUACACGACCGCCGCGGGUCAAACCGCUGACGUCAACAAUGUUUAUGACAGAUGAAGAAGGCAGGGACACUUCUUUCCCAUUUUCCACUGCUACAGCAUUAUAGCGAUAAGGAACCGCCUUCUCGGAGGAGUAUGGAACGGGUCCGGCUGGCUUAAUAGUUAGAGAGGGAGAAACCUUUUGCUUGCUACCAUCAUACUUGAUGACAACAGGCUCAGGUAUCCGGAAUACUGGAGAAAUUACGUUGACUUCGAGAUCAUCUUCGUCAACAUUUCUAUUUUGAAGGAUCUCAAUGACUCCUUCGUCCAACAUCUCUUGAACAUCCUUACGCACCUGGCGACAACCUCUCUGAUUGACAGAACAGACUCUGCAUCUAUCAUGGUCAUGCUCAUAAUGGCUAUAGUCACACAGCAAGCGAUGCAUCUCAACCAGCGAUUGCCGGAUAUGACUGACGUAUUUAACUUUGUACUUGCCAGGACAGCCCUGGACCAUAUUAACAGACUUCCCAUGCUCGGGCAAUGGGUUCUUCUUCACGUUCGGACCUACGUCCUCGAAAAACAGAAUCCCACUUCUCACAAGGUCUUGCACCUUGGUCUUCAGGGGAUAACUGUUCUCUACGUCAUGUCCGGGAGCACUGGAAUGAUAUACGCAAUGAAGCUCAGGCUUGUACCACCACUGGGGGUUAGCAGGUACAGCGGGAGGGUCUCGCGGAGUGAUUAACUUUCUAUCGAUCAGAGAUGGAUAGAGUUCAGCAUAAGUCAUCGGAAUUGGAUCAAAGGUGACCCUCUUCCUCUCAUAGCUGGUGCUGGCAUUGUUGUUGUUAUUUCGAGGCUGGUAGGCCUGCUGUUGUGGACGCUGUUGUUGUUGCUGAUAUUGCUGAGUUUGCGGUUGUUGAUAAUGUUGAGCUUCCCUGAAAACAGGUGCUAUAUGAGCCACCUGAUGCUGAUUAUUAACUGGGCGAGCAAUCUUCCUCUUCACAGAGGGUCUUCUCUUGACAUGGGAAGACACAGCAUGUGCCUCUCCCUCCUUCUUCUUUGCAAAGCUUCCAUAUCUCUUUGCUGAAGAGCCUUCCUCUCGAGUUAAGCAUCCUUCACGGACCCCUUCUUCCAAUCUCAUCCACCAUCUCGGUGAAGUCUGAGGGAGCAUUGGCUAUCAUUCUCUCGUAAUAGAACGAUCUCAAGGUCUUCAAGAAGAUCUUGGUCAUCUCUUUCUCCUCUAGGGGUGGCACUAUCUGAGCUGCCAAUUCGCGCCACCUCUGGGCGUAUUCUUUGAAAGUCUCUUUCUCUUUCUGGGACAUCGCCCUCAACUGGUCCCUAUCAGGAGCCAUAUCCAUAUUAUAUUUAUAUUGCUUGACGAAGGCCUCGCCAAGAUCGUUGAAAGAGCGGAUGUUCGAACUUUCCAGACCCAUGUACCACCGUAGAGCGGCACCGGACAGACUGUCUUGGAAAUAAAUGAAGAACACAGAGUUAGACCAUAGGACAAGAAGCCUGGAGCAAAACCUGCUUAUGCACAUGAUGCAUGCAAUGCUUGUGCAUAUGAUUUUUUUUUAUUUCAGAGGAACUUUAGAGUCCUAUUUGCAAAUUUGGGAAAUAUUACAUUUUUGUGUGGAAACAUUUCAUCAAUAAUAUCUGGAAUAUGUGUUUUUUACACCAAAGGAGUACAACAUCGGUAACCAAAUACAAGAGAAAAAGGAAAAUAAUCAUCCUAUGGAUCCCUAGAAACAAUCAUCUAAAGCUCGGGACACAGGAAGAUAAGAUGCACGAAGCCUCUUCACCUCCUCCUCAUAGGUUGCCUCCAUAUCUGCCUUCUCCUUGGCGAGUCGAUCGUACUUCCUCUUCCAGAACCUAGAAGACUGAGGAAGUUAUUUAUAUUAUAUAAAUGUAACCUUAGCGGAAGAUGCAAAGCGGAACUCCAUGCUAUUAUUGACAGUUUGCAGAGCGAGGUUUCGGUUGCUUUGCUGUUCUAGACAAGAGGUUCCUGAGAAACCUAAGAAAACGCUGGUGGUCCUUGCAGUUGUUGGUUUGUGUCACUUUUGACCCACCUAGGCAUACAUGAGUGAAACUAGCGGAGAGCUCUUAUUCUUGGUGUCAAGUUAAGAUGAUUACUGGUGACAACUUUCCAUGCAAAGGGCUGGGAGACUUGGGAUGAACUUACGGUACUCAUCUGCUACCUUGCUUGGAAAGAAAUGGAUAUGCACUUCCAGUUGAGAGUGAUGAGAGACAGAUGAUUGCUGGGUAUUUCAGAGCACAAUAUGAAGGCCGAUAUUGGAUCGUUGUGCCGAUGCUACGGAUGCCGCAAAGUUGUUUCUGUAUUGUCCUACGACUGAUUAAUGUUAUCUAGUGCAGUUUUAACCAGUAGGCUUUUUCAAAUGAUUGAAAACUACACAUCGUUGCGCUUUAUCUCCUGUAAAAUAUCUGAUAUUUCCUUGAGUGGAUUUCGUUUAAAUAUGGCUGCAGAUACGAGUGAUUUGGAAUUUGCAACCUUGCUAGGUGAACAGCUCGGAUAUAUUUAAAAUUCAAACUGCAUUGUUGCCCUUCGCUGCUAGGUUUUUUUAGAGUCAUGGUGAUUGUAGAUGCGGAGUCAUUUAUACAAAGGAGAUAAGGGGCCAUCUAGCUGUCACAAUGAAAAGUUAGCUAUGUGUUUGCUCUUUAAUGCACAAGAUCUCAAUUAGAUUACCAAAACCUUCGUGUUUGUGGAGAUUGUCACAUGCUGCAAAGUUAAUCUCCCAAAAUAGUUGAACGUGAAAUUGUGUUAAGACACUAUAGAUUCCACAUUUAGGAUGGUGUUGCUCUUGUUGAGAUGCUUCGGUAUUUAUGGUUGCAGUUCCAGAAUUUUGUGCUUUGAAUUGCUUUCCUUCACCAUCCACGUAGUCUCACUACAAUUAAUGGCAGCUUUGUCCAAGGAAGGUCCAUAUCAAAUUGCGAAAAACUUGAUGCUGUAGACUUAAAACUGACACAUAAAAAUUCUUUAGACAGUUCGAUUGGAGAUCCCAGGGUUCAAAGGAAGUUGACCGGUCUUAAUGAUCCCAGAACCUUAUUUUCCUGUUGAAUGAUGGUGCCAAAAGAUGUUCCGAUCAGUGAGUUGUUUGAACUUUCUUUGAGAUAUGUUGGAUAUGUUAAAGGAGUUUCUGAGAAGAACUUUGAAUGAAGACAAAGCUAGUAGCAUGAAUGCAAGUCUGGCAUUCUCACUUGAGCUGGCUAGUCUAGUACAAGGUCAGUCCAAUGGAAAACACAAGAGAAGAUUGAUCCAAGACAAGCUGGCGAAAUUGAUUGAUCUUAAGAUCGCCGCUAAUAGUUUGCGCCGCAUCAGUAUCAGCAGUAGUGGAUGUCAUGCGGUAUCUGCUACUGCUAUGGCUAUGAUGCAGCAGCAGACGAUGAUGGUAUCCACACAUUACAUGUUGUGUGCUCAUCCCAUCAUUAUCAGGCGCCGCUCAUUAACAUUAACCGUCGGCGUUGUAGCACAAAAGCACUCCAAGCCAUCGGUUUAAUUGUGCAAGUUUUGAGCUGCUAAGGCUGCUAAGGUUUGCGAAAGUGCUUGCUGCAUUGAAUGGAAUGACCGGUUAUUCUUGUCUCAACUGUGGAUGUGCUGAGCACACUACGUGAGCUCGAAAAGACCAACCUCAAUCCACGUCGGCUGGUUGCAAUACAAAUACCCAAAUAGUAAUUCUAAAAAACUUUCAGCUAAUAAGUUACAGUGUGAAAGUUUUUCUCACCAACAUAGUUAUUAUGAAGAGAAUGAGAAGGGGCCCAAGUUGGAUAUGGACAAAAUUCAAACCUCCACUGCACGCAGACCUCCCUACUCUGGGAACACCCAGACACAGCGAGAGGAGAUGAGUCAUAUAAGAGAGGCCACGGUUCUUUUGGGGAGAGAGCUGAAAAACCCUAAUUUGAGAGGAUUGGCGGCUACCAUUCAAAAAGAAGAGAGAGAUUGAAGGCACGUUUACCUACAUUGUCGGUCGAGCUCGCCGCAACCGUAGCUUCCUUUUCGAACUUUAUUCUAUGUUUUGAUUCUGCUUUGCAUCUUUCUGAGGUAACCAUGGUUGUUGUUCCAAUUUGAUUUCAUUUAGCAAUAUGUUGCCUGUUUGUGAUAAUAUCUUGCGCGUAACCUUUUGAUGUUCAAAUGGAAAAAUCUCUGUUCGUUAAGAUGAGCUGCUUGACAUCUGUACUGUUUUAACUUGUUGUUUUAUUUAAAGGCUUGGUCGGUUUGUUAUUAUUAUUGUGUUUGAAACUAUAUAACAAGGAUGUUACUGGUUGAGUGUAAAGAGGUGCUUUGGUAAACCUAGGUUCCGAGUUCAAUCCCUGGUUUCAGCAUUUCUCAUUUUAACUACUUUCUAUUUUUACUAGUUUUUAUUAUUUUACCAUUUUUAUUAUUAUUUUAAACAUUUAUUUUAUUUUAUUUUAUUUUUUUUCUCUUUUUAACACUCGUUAUUUUAAUGUUAACAUCGAUUUUUAAUUUAUGGAUUGACAUUCUCUUGUUAUUUAUCCACAAUUAUUUUUAUCGAUACAUUGAUGUAUUUCGCCGCGUUUCGAUUAAUCGCAUAUGCAUUUCAAUUAUUGUCAACAUGCGCAAACCGACUUGUGGCAUUAUUUAGGUUUUGUGUGUCCCUCAAUUUUUAUCCGUGCAAUCCCGAUUUUACCUUUUUCGAUUUAAUUUUUAAGUGUUUUCUAAUAUGUUGUUGUAUUUUUCUUCAUGCUUACUCUUGCCUUUACAUGAGGUUCUUGACUACACUUCACUUGUAACUUUUGUGCUUGCCGAUUAUUAUUCCAAUACUUUGAAUCCCCAUUUGACAAAAUGUAACACCCCCGAUGUUGUAAUAUUUACUGUUGAUUUCUUAUUGCUUGGUUGUUUAGUUAGCUACUACACAGAAUAAAAAUCAACAUUCCAAAGAUCAAAAAUAAGACUCGAUCCAAGUCGGUAUUUUUCCAAUAAACAAUAUCCAUUUCUUUAUCUCUUUCAUUUCUCUCAAACUUUUAAGCUUGAUCCAACGUCAAGCACAUUUCAUAAUAAACUCAAUAUUAAUUCAUAUUUAAGACCUUUUCAAUAAAGAUGGUGGAACUGUGUAUACGCGAUCUGGAUUCGGAUGUAUGUCUCGCUCUGCCAUCAUUCCUAUCCACUUUGUUUUCUCUCAAACUCAUUCAAUUUCUCUAUACGCAUCAACACUUAUCUAGCGUCAAGUCAUUUCACAAUAAAACUCAAGAAUACUUCUUUACACUUUUUCAUAAGGUGAAAUGGAACAUGGUGUAUACGUGCUCCUGAGUUAAGAUUCGGAGUAGUCUCUGCCUUCUUCUCGCCAUCAUUUAAGUCAUUGCCGGUUUUUCAAUUUUCAAUUUCAAACACUAUUUUAUUAAACCUUUUUUUCAAAUAAGUGGAAUGGGGACGUGGUGAUUUCCCGCGACUCCUGAGACUGGAUUCGAUGUAUAUCUCGCUCAUCCAACUCGCCUACUCAAACACAUCAACACAUCAAUUCUUUCUCGCCGCCGUGUGAUUAACCCUUCAAACAUUUCUCAAAUGAGGUACUUUGUUCAAAACAAUGCAGGCAAUGUUUCCACCUGUUUUGGGAGCCAACAAUGUUUUCGCAUUUGACACAAAGUAGCUUUCGCUAAAUCGCCAACAAAUUUCUACCAGGAAUGUAUGCCUUACUUUCUCUAUGCUGAUAGUAGGGCGGAUUGUAUCUUGGUCGAUAAAUAAAAUUAGGUUAGUCUCGUAAAAUCCAAAAUUCUCUUCUCUUUUUUCUUUCUCUUAAUUUUAUCAAGCCUAACAUUUCAUUAACCUAACCACACUAUACUGGUUCCCUUUGGUAUACGACCGGUGGUCAGUAAUCUUCCCCUUGUAAUCGACUCGAACCCUGUUGGUUGCGCGAUCGCCUUCAUUGUUCUUUUCUUUUGUUUUAUCGUAUAUUUCCCCUUGCCAGGAAUAAAAAAGGUCGUGGCGACUCUGUUCAGUCCAUAAUGUGAGCGUGCUGCGAUUGCAUCGUUACGACUGUAUCCGUACAUCACUAGUAGAUUAGAGAUGGUGGUGAGAGCGGGUGCUGUAAAUAUUUGAACGAUCUUGAGGGCAGUUAAUUGGCAUGGUGAUGCAAUUGCCAUGUGUUAGUUUUAGUUGCGGUGUAAUUUGUUUUAAACUGAAGCAGUUUGUUUUUCCUGCAACCAAUACUACAUUAAUAUGGUUUAAUGUGUUUUUAUUGUGAACAUCUUAGACGUGGGAAAUUAGAAUUUGGAAGUCUAAAAGUUUAGUUAGAAUGAAAAACUAAUAUAGUUUCCGUUUUCAAGUUCAUGGAACACUAGAUAAUAUACUUAAUUUUUUAGAGUAUUGUUUACAUUAAACUCUACAAGUUUUUUACAGGUUAUCAUAAGAGGGUAUCUUAUCUAUAUUGGUAUAUCACCACAUUGAAAUGUUUUAAGUAGCUUCGUAGAUGAGGCCCGAUCAAGCAUCAGUUUAAAGAUAUAUGUUAUUAUACUUAUUAUUAUUCUUCCUACGAUAAACUAGAGAGAAUCCAUUCAUUGUUUAACAUUUCAUAAAAUUUUACUCUUAAUAUAUAUAAUAUAUAUAUAUAUAUAUAUUUAUUAUAUUAUAUUAUAUAUUAUAUAUUAUAUUAUAUAAUAAAAAUAUAGUUAUAAUCGACAAUGUAAAAUUAGCUUUACAUUUUCAAUUUAUGACAUUCAAACAUCUUAAUCUCGUUUGCCUUUGUGUUAUCUUUCGUGUGGAUGUGGAAAAAAACACGUGAUACGGGAGCCACUCAAAUGGGUCUACCCAAAUCUCACAACAGAAGGCGGAUAUCGGAUACAAACCUACAAAUUCAAAGCACCCUCGUUACGAAUAUCGAUGCCAACGGUACUUCUUGGCCUCGCACCAACGUGACAGGCCUAUUUAUUAUGAGAUCUCUGCUUACACGAUGAUGAGAAAAUGUGGAUGUACUUCUUCCAGAAUUGUCUUAUCUUUGACGGGCUUCUUGACUUGGUACAUGACUAGAGAGACUCUAUCCGAUGUUGGAAAUUUAUCUGGCGUCGGGGGCCUUCUUGCAGGCCAGUAUAAAAACAACAUGGACAUGGCGCUGAGCCGGACUCAGUUGAGAUCUUUGUUCAGGAAAUUCUGGGGAAGAGCUUCAGGAGUAGCCAGAGUGGCGGUUGAAUUGGCUGCAAGAGUACAACCCCUAUGUGGAAGGGAAGCUAAGUAAUAUGUUUAUCGCUACAAACUGCAGGGUUUGUUUUCCUCACCGGUAAAGGGAGUGCCAUUCGCAGUUUCUCUAACACGUAAUGUCGAUAUAGUAGGAUAGGGACAGAGAGUUGAUCAAAAGCUGGUAAAAUUCAGGAGAAACAUGCAGAGGUCCUCGUCUUCGAAGAAACCAUUGUUGGGGGCACCUCGUAGGAGAGAGGGUGAAACCAAAGUGCUGGUGCAACAUGUAGAAGGAUAAACAGAUCAGGUACGCGCAGGUUGUGCUGUGACAAUUCCAGCACCUCAACCUCUCAACCCGAAUCGAGGCGAACACGAGGCGUUCAAACAACAACCGCCACAACAACAACANAUAUAUAUAUAUAUAUAUAUAUAUAUAUAUAUAUAUAUAAUAAGAAAAUGAAUGGUAUAUCGACAAUGUAAAUUAGCUUUACAUUUUCAAUUAAUAAUGAUCAUUUAACCCGCCACCUAUCUCGUUUGCUCCUUGAUGUUACCACCUUUCUUAACCUCCCUGUCUGUCAUGUCAAUAGAUCGAAAGGAAUAAUUUUAUUUUUAUAAUCUUUGAUUUCUUUAACAUAUCAAUUGGUGUGGAAUUAGAUCUUAAUUCAUAUUGAUCAAUUCGCAAGACCUAACUACUUAGAAUGUGUUCCUCAACACUUUGGUCAAUCUAAAACUCAUAAAUAAAGUGUGAGUUUCUUCUUCCUCCUCCAUUUGACCGUUUCAACUCCUUCUUUUUUUUAAUAAUAUUAAUGUUAUGUUUGGUCGUUCAAGGAAUGAUAGUUGAAGAAUUGAGUUUUUGCAGUAAGAAACACCUUUUAGCAUUUUCUAUUUAUUGAAGUAACAAUUCUCUUUCAAUUUCAUUAUGCAUUAUUAUGCCUUUUAUAUUUACCCUAUUUUAUUAGUUUUUGGCAUAAACUCAAGCAAAUUAAUUUUCCUACGUGUGUAGAAAGUAUUGGUUGAAUGCUGAAGUUAACAAUAUUCAAUGUGUGUAGCAAGUAUGAGUUAUAUGUGCAAGUCACAUUCUUUAUAUUAUAGCUUGCAAAGUGUUAUUAGGUUACAUCACCAUUUGAGAAAUUAAGUGUAGUGUUUGUAGACUUUAGCAUCCUUUUGAGUAGUUGUUUGGUGUUAAUCCUGCAUGCGUCUCAAUACAUGGCAUGUGUGAGCUUUAUGUUUGAAUUAUGGACAAAAUCAUUUUGCAGGAAAGAGAAGAAAAGUUUAGAGGAAUAUGGCCAAUACUUCUAGGUGCCCAAUCCCUUAGAGUCUUAUUUCUGUAUUUUGUAUAUCAUUGUCCUGUAUUCCAUGAAGUUGAUUAGAAAAAAAGUGAAAUAUAUUGGCAUUCUACUUAUCUAUUGUUAGCUAAAACAAUUUCACUGUUAUCAAGAAGUGGAAUGGUUUAUAUAUGAUCCAUGUGAUAUUGGCUUUUGUAAUAUUCUAUUAACAAUAUUUAAUAUUAUUGUGCUAUUUAAAUUUUUGUUAAGUAUAAUGAAAUGCCUAAUGCAUUAAAAAAAAUUAUUAGGACGAAUUAUUUUUACUAGUAUUUUAAUUUUCUCUUGUUUAUUAUGGAUUUGCCUUCAUUGUUUGGCAGGUGAUUAUUUUCUUGAGGAUAUUUAUUUUUAUUUUUCAUUGUUCUUUGUCCCACACAUCAAUAUUUAUCACGUGAUUAAUAUUAUUGUUAGAUUUUUUCAACAAAAAGUCAUGUUUUGAUUGAACCUUUCAAUUUUACAACAAGUAGCAUCCACCGUGGGAAAAUACACUACUACAAAAUAUACCUUUCUUAACACCAUAUUACCAAGGCCGUUUAAGCAACCGUUGUAAUAACUUAUCUUAACGCACCUGAAUUUUUUUAUAUUUUAUUCAAAGACAUUUCUUCACGGUUCAUAAUAACAACUGUGGUUAUAGAUGAAAGGUUACGUGCUUUGAAUCCCAGCACAAACAAUUUUUUUAUCAUUACAAAAAGAGUUUGUCCAUAUCGUCUUAUAAAUAUAUUAAAAUUAAAAUAUCUAUCACCCUGGUUAGUACCAGAAACCAUUGUGGAUAGUACUGACAGUUUAUCAUGGUUUUUCUUGCCAACGACGGUGAUAAGUUUUACAUAUAUAUAUAAGCAAAGUUAUAAAAUUCAGUCCUCUCGCUCAAAUUACAAAAUCCUAAUCUCUCUCUCUCUCUCUCUUCCACAUCCUGCGAAAUAGUCUCUCUUCUUCUUCCAUACAACUUGUCUUUCUUCUUCUUCGUACUAAAAGGUAAUCAAAUUAAACGUUGUUUCUUCUUUAUCUAAGUAUUUAAACGUUGUUUCUUCUUCUUCUAAAAGGUAAACAUGUUAUUCACGACAGAGCUACAUACACAACUAUGUAGGCCUAUGACCCACUAGAAUUAAAAAUUUAAUUAUAAUAUACUACCCAUGUGGUAAUAGUAAUGAUGGUGUAUAUUGCAUUAAAUACUUAGUUCAUUUCAAAAUUUAGUCCAAAAUAGUCUCUAGUAUUUUUGAUAAAAAAAAUUUAAUAGUCUGGAUAUUAUUAUCUUAUCUUUUUAAUUCUAUAUUUUUAGAAUUAAAGAAAAAUUAAUAAUCUAUGAACUAUCAAUUGAUUGGCGAGGAUAAAAUAUGUUAUAUAAUUAUAAGUAGAAAAUUAAGAAACCAUUAAUAAUUUUAAAUCAUUAAAAAAAAUUAAAAAAACAAAAUAAUAUUUAUUUAUAAAUAAUAUAUUAUACUUUUCUCGUAAUAAAUUUAUAAAUUUGCCCACACUAUUUAGAAUUCCUGGCUCCAUCCCUAGUUAUUCACACGUUUUCUUCCAUUUAGGUUUCACAUGAUUUUUUCGUAUUUUUUUAUACUUGGAUCUCUGUUUUUGAAAUUCUCAAUUCGUGUUACUGUUUUUAUUAUAUUGUUGUCUUAAUGGUUUUAACAAGUCGGAUCAAUUGUCCCAACUCUGUGUCCAACAUCUGUCCUAUGAGAAACAAAAUUUCACAUUUGAUACUUUCUCUCUAAGAUAAUGGAACCUCAUCUCAUUGUGUUUUCUUCUUCCGUAUCAUAUUGAUUCUUGGACAAAUUUAUAGCAGAAAUGUUAUCAAUCUUCAUGAUUACUGCUUCAUGAUUUUGACCUACAAUCUCUUUGAUCAAAUUUAUCAUUCAUGUUGCUUGACAUGCACAAAGAAAGGAAACUAUGUAAUCAGUCUCACAUGAUGACAAAGCUACAACUGGUUCUUUUCAUGAGCUCUAAGCAACUGGUGCACCACAUAGCAUAAACAUAUUUUCUAUCAUCAGCAUCACCAUACCAACACGGGUCAGUGUAUCCCACUAGCUUGCAUUCCUUUUCUUUUUAACAAUUUUUUUGAAGAAGUCAUUCUUAACACCUAGAUUUUAUUUUUAUUUUUCUUUAUUUUGACCAAUUUCUCUAGUACCCCAAUCCCAAGUAUAAAUGUUGAUAACUUACAAGAGCAACCCCAAAUUUAUUCUUUUGAAUUCUAUUAAUUGAUUGAUGAUUGUAUAUCAUGAAUCAUGGAUAUGAGAUAUUAAGGCUUUACAUUAGUUUAAAUUUAAUGAGUGUUUUAUACUUAUAGUUAUUGACUUUCUUAAAAUAAUAUAAUAUCUAAGAGGAAUACCAAAAUACUCUUGAUUUAUUUAUUCAUAGUAGAAAAGUGGAGAUAUAAUUAUAGUUAUAAGAUAACAUUGUUUUAUUCAUUGCUCCCUGUGAGAUAUAUCUCUUGAUAGCAUACAUACAUAGUAUAACUCUUGAUUUAUUUAUUCAUAGUAGAAAAGUGGAGAUAUAAUUAUAGUUAUAAGAUAACAUUGUUUUAUUCAUUGCUCCCUGUGAGAUAUAUCUCUUGAUAGCAUACAUACAUAGUAUUUUGUCCACUCAUUAAGAAGCAUUUCAAACUGAAGAUAGACGGUCUCUUGUUUCACGACUUCCUAUCUCCCUUUGUUGAGGUUGAGCAUCUGCAAAGUGAGAUUGUUUCUGAUUCUCUAGUAUCCUAUCAACCUCUUGAGCUGAUCCAGGGAAUGCAAGCUCUUUCACUGGCCGCUGUAUCUGACUAAUCACAUUAUCCUUAUCGCCUUCAAAUUUUCAAUCACCAAAAUAAUAAGCAUAUCUUAAUAUUUUCCCCCUUGAUUUAAAUAGAAAUUGACUUUUAAAAUACACACUUAAAAUGAAUAAAUAGUGACAGAGACUGGGUGAUAAUAUAAUAUACCUGCAAGAAAGUUCCUUUGAUUGUUCUCAGCAUUAAUACCAAACCCAAACAAAUCAAGAUUUGAGGAAGCUUUUACGGAAACUGGAUGGCCUGCUGGAAUUACAAAAACAUCUCCUGAAGACAAUUUAGCUUUGUAAUUUUGCACUUGUUUAUUUAUCUCCUCUUCUCCUUGUUCCUCUUCCUCGUCAUCUUCUUUUGUCUGCUCUUGUUGGUUUUCAUUUCUUUGACCCACAAGUUCAAAAUCUCCUUUUCCUUCGUUAACUGUUACUAUUACUAUGGCCCUUGAAUUGUAGUGUGGCAACAAUAGAGAUCCCUAAUAUUUAAUUUGAAAGAAUAAUUAAAUAAAUACGUUAGAUAUAUGUUCUAUAAAUAAAACAUGUUAUUGAGCAUGUAAAACUUGUUGUGUAUGAGAUGUCAAGUUAGUAACAAAAGUUUGACAUUAUAACUUCAAAGGACAAAAAUCAAAUCAUUUAGAACAAUUGUAAUUUGAUCAAGUGGAAUCUCAUUGUGUAAUUUGGUGAAUUUCCUAUAUUAUAAAAUAAUUUUAUCAUACCUCCUUAAUCUCUACAGAAUUGACAAAUAUAUCCAAGUCUUGAAGCUGUGGAUUUUCCUCUGGGGUGAUUUCAAAGAAUUUUCCAAACUCGUUGGAAUAGAUAGGACCGCGACUUCUCAAGUUGAAUGGUUCAGAUUCAGAGGAAACACUUUUUUUGGAGGUAGACUUUGCAUUUUUAACUCAAUUCCUCAUUUGUCCCUGAUAAUUUUACUAUUACAUUCUCUGCUUGACUUUGCUGCCUCUUUAUCCUUAAGGCUUCUUCUGUGUUGUGUCUCUUUCUCAUGCUCUUCUAAAAGAACCUUUUCUAUCUCUUCAUAAUCAGUCUAUAUUUUUUUACAGUACAUACAUUGACAAAGUGAGUAUUAACAUAUAUAAAACCAAACUAAUACAUAAAAAAAUGAAAAAAAUUGUGUGUUUUAUGCUUACAUUGAAGGAAGCCUCUAGAAUGUUCUUACUGAACCCAGAUAAGUAGGAUUGUUGGUUUUGAUUUCCAGACAAUAAGAAAGACUGUUGAAAAGGACAAAAAAAUGAGGAAAACAUUACAGAAAAAUAUGUACAGUCACAAUUUUUGUUGUGAUGUUAUGGUAGAGGCCCCUAAAUUUGUUUAUACAUUUGAGUGCAUACCAUAUUUGAUAUGAGAAGAUAUGAGAAUAGGUAAACAUUGGUUAUAUUACCUGAAGUUGGCCAGGUCUAUUUACGGGAAUGGCGAGAUCUAAUACUCUAAGCUCCUCGUUGUCAUCUCUGUUAACCAAAUAAGCAAUUGUGCCAGCAGGAAGUUUUACCGUAUCUCCGCGCUCAAGGUUGAAGGAGUUUCUGUCAUCGGGUUUCAACACUGUGAGUAUAGCUUUUCCUGGAAAUUACAAUGACAUUAGAUUUUAUAAAUGAAUUUAAUUUAUCCUUACAAAACAAAUAUGUAAAGUAAUAAGAGAAAUGCUAAUAAUACUCUCUUUUCAACACUCUCUCAAACACACACUCUUUCAUUUGUUGAAAUAUGUGUGGAUCUUACCACUUUAUGUGGGACCUAUUUCCAAAGCGAGGGGCCCACACAUGCUUCAACCAAUAAAAAAGUGAGUGUUUGAGAGAGUGUUGAAAAGAGAGUGUUACUAGCACUCCUCAAAAUAAUAAAUACCGUUCUUUUUGAAUGAACUAUGAGUGAUUAGUUUUAAAUAUUUAACUUGAUAAAUAAUAAAUUACCACUGAGUACAACAAGGAUGUAAUCGGCAUCGGUGUGCUGCGGAAGAAAUAUUGUGUGAGGUUUGGACUUAUAUUCCAAAAGACGGUAGUUUUGUAGAUUCUCGAACGAGAAGACAUGUUUGGACUGUAUAUUCCAAAAGGACGGUAGUUUUUGUAGAUUCUCGAAAAUUUUA
rnacentral:lncRNA from 1 species